rnacentral:tRNA from 1 species
GGGGAUGUAGCUCAGUGGUAGAGUGUAUGCUUAUCAUGCAUGAGGCUAUGGGUAUUUCAGCCCCA